rnacentral:lncRNA from 1 species
CCUUUUCUCUUCUUCUAAUUCAUUUAUCUAGCAACUUCCUUACUUAGUUGCAGGUCUUAUAUUCUACCAUGAAUGAUGAAAGUAUUUAGUGUUUAUUGCCUAAGUCAUGCAAGGAGGUAGCCAUCCUCAGAAGUAAGGGGAUUAAUCUCAUCUAGUGAAAGGUAGCCAAUGAUAAAUUUGAAUGAUCCUGUGGGGGUCAGAAUAUGAUUCUUUCAUAAAUACACAAAAAUAUCUAUAUUCAACUUGUGAGAGUUGAAUAUAGGUACUAAUCUACUCUUAUCUUUUCGACUAUAUUACCAAUGUUAAGUUUAAAAUAUCUUUAUUCUAAUUCAGUAAAAUGAUGAUUCGUUUUUAUGAAAAGGAAAAAACAGGAAAAGAAAAACAACGUACAAGGAACAAAAUUAAUAUUAUCUAUAAAAGUCGAACUCCAACAAAAAAAAAAAAAUAAUAUAAAUAUGCAAUAACAUGGAAUUCUAGAGACAUCGAAGACUAAUACCAUUUCUCCUGCGUUUUUUUCCUUCCACCUUGAGUGCUAAUAAUUUAUACUUUCAUUCAACUAUGUGAAUCUUCUCUUUGAUGUUAAUAAAACUUUAUUAUUCUUCA